rnacentral:rRNA from 1 species
AUUGAACGCUGGCGGCAGGCCUAACACAUGCAAGUCGAACGAGUGGCGGACGGGUGAGUCAUGUCUGGGAAACUGCCCGAUGGGUGGGGAUCACUACUGGAAACGGUAGCUAAUACCGCAUACCCUCCUAUGUUCCCAGAUGGGAUUAGCUAGUAGGUGGGGUAACGGCUCACCUAGGCGACGAUCCCUAGCUGGUCUGAGAGGAUGACCAGCCAAACUGGAACUGAGACACGGUCCAGACUCCUACGGGAGGCAGCAGUGGGGAAUAUUGCACAAUGGGCGCAAGCCUGAUGCAGCCAUGCCGCGGGUAUGAAGAAGGCCUUCGGGUUGUAAAGUACUUUCAGCGAGGAGGCGUUACUCGCAGAAGAAGCACCGGCUAACUCCGUGCCAGCAGCCGCGGUAAUUC